rnacentral:rRNA from 1 species
ACCUGCGUUGUAUUAGCUAGUUGGUGGGGUAACGGCUCACCAAGGCUACGAUACAUAGCCGACCUGAGAGGGUGAUCGGCCACACUGGGACUGAGACACGGCCCAGACUCCUACGGGAGGCAGCAGUAGGGAAUCUUCGGCAAUGGGGGCAACCCUGACCGAGCAACGCCGCGUGAGUGAAGAAGGUUUUCGGAUCGUAAAGCUCUGUUGUAAGCGAAGAACAGUGAUAGGAGUGGAAAAUCUAUCAUAUGACGGUAGCUUACCAGAAAGGGACGGCUAACUACGUGCCAGCAGCCGCGGUAAUACGUAGGUCUCGAGCGUUGUCCGGAUUUAUUGGGCGUAAAGCGAGCGCAGGCGGUUAGAUAAGUCAGAAGUUAAAGGCUGUGGCUCAACCAUAGUAUGCUUUUGAAACUGUUUAACUUGAGUGCAGAAGGGGAGAGUGGAAUUCCAUGUGUAGCGGUGAAAUGCGUAGAUAUAUGGAGGAACACCGGUGGCGAAAGCGGCUCUCUGGUCUGUCACUGACGCUGAGGCUCGAAAGCGUGGGUAGCGAACAGGAUUAGAUACCCUGGUAGUCCACGCCGUAAACGAUGAGUGCUAGGUGUUAGACCCUUUCCGGGGUUUAGUGCCGUAGCUAACGCAUUAAGCACUCCGCCUGGGGAGUACGACCGCAAGGUUGAAACUCAAAGGAAUUGACGGGGGCCCGCACAAGCGGUGGAGCAUGUGGUUUAAUUCGAAGCAACGCGAAGAACCUUACCAGGUCUUGACAUCCCUUUGACUGGUCUAGAGAUAGACUUUCCCUUCGGGGCAGAGGAGACAGGUGGUGCAUGGUUGUCGUCAGCUCGUGUCGUGAGAUGUUGGGUUAAGUCCCGCAACGAGCGCAACCCUUAUUGUUAGUUGCCAUCAUUAAGUUGGGCACUCUAGCGAGACUGCCGGUAAUAAACCGGAGGAAGGUGGGGAUGACGUCAAAUCAUCAUGCCCCUUAUGACCUGGGCUACACACGUGCUACAAUGGUUGGUACAACGAGUCGCAAGCCGGUGACGGCAAGCUAAUCUCUUAAAGCCAAUCUCAGUUCGGAUUGUAGGCUGCAACUCGCCUACAUGAAGUCGGAAUCGCUAGUAAUCGCGGAUCAGCACGCCGCGGUGAAUACGUUCCCGGGCCUUGUACACACCGCCCGUCACACCACGAGAGUUUGUAACACCCGAAGUCGGUGAGGUAACCUAUUAGGAGCCAGCCGCCGAAGGUGGGAUAGAUGAUUGGGGUGAAGUCGUAACAAGGUAGCCGUAUCGGAAGGUGCGGCUG